GUGAAUCAUCAAAUUUUUGAACGCAAAUUGCACUCUCCUCGGAGAGUAUGCCUGUUUGAGGGUCAGCCUAUAAAAAAUCGACAUCGUUUCUGUUUCGCGGUGUCGUUCGUCGGACAUUGGGUCAUCUUAACUCCUUUUGGUUUUAAGCGACUUAAAAUUUUCUUUUUGGUUCCAUGAACGUUUCUAAGAUUUAUUUCUUUACACGUUUAAGGUAUCGAUUUUUAUUAGUCGUGACUAUCAUAUCGGAUCUCACUCAUCAUCUUUCA
rnacentral:misc_RNA from 1 species